CAAUGGGAGGGUUGAAGAAACAGAUCUAGGCUGAGCUUCUAGGAAUUAUGUCACAAGAGUAGGCUGCUGAAAGAGCUGCUGCUUUUAGAACAAUCAAGAAGCUGCCUGCUGGAUUAGGAAGCUGCCUGCUGAACAGUUGCCAGUUCCAGAGCCACACCACCUCUGCCAUGCUUUAUGCCAGCAAAAAUAGAUACAUCUCUUCCUGCCUCUGUCCCCACGUUACUUGGCUCUGAGUAAAAGUCUCAACCAUGAAGUACAAUCAAGAAGAAAUUGAAAAACAGUCAGAGUUAGAUGAUGAGCUUCAUCGUUUGUCAUGCAGGAUUUUUAUCCCCUGAAGAACCUG
rnacentral:lncRNA from 1 species